rnacentral:rRNA from 1 species
GACGAACGCUGGCGGCGUGCUUAACACAUGCAAGUCGAACGAAGAGCGAUGGAAGCUUGCUUCUAUCAAUCUUAGUGGCGAACGGGUGAGUAACGCGUAAUCAACCUGCCCUUCAGAGGGGGACAACAGUUGGAAACGACUGCUAAUACCGCAUACGAUCUGACCUCGGCAUCGAGGAUAGAUGAAAGGUGGCCUCUAUUUAUAAGCUAUCAUUGAAGGAGGGGAUUGCGUCUGAUUAGCUAGUUGGAGGGGUAACGGCCCACCAAGGCGAUGAUCAGUAGCCGGUCUGAGAGGAUGAACGGCCACAUUGGGACUGAGACACGGCCCAGACUCCUACGGGAGGCAGCAGUGGGGAAUCUUCCGCAAUGGACGAAAGUCUGACGGAGCAACGCCGCGUGAGUGAUGACGGCCUUCGGGUUGUAAAGCUCUGUUAAUCGGGACGAAAGGCCUUCUUGCGAAUAGUUAGAAGGAUUGACGGUACCGGAAUAGAAAGCCACGGCUAACUACGUG